rnacentral:miRNA from 1 species
AAGCAGGAGGUGUCAGAAAAGUUACCACAGGGAUAACUGAUUUGUGGCUGCCAAGUGAUCAUAGCGACGCCGCUUUUUGAUCCCUUGA